rnacentral:rRNA from 1 species
CCUACGGGUGGCAGCAGUGAGGAAUAUUGGUCAAUGGGCGCGAGCCUGAACCAGCCAAGUCGCGUGAGGGAAGACGGUCCUAUGGAUUGUAAACCUCUUUUGUCGGGGAGCAAAAGACGCCACGCGUGGCGUUCCGAGAGUACCCGAAGAAAAAGCAUCGGCUAACUCCGUGCCAGCAGCCGCGGUAAUACGGGGGAUGCGAGCGUUAUCCGGAUUUAUUGGGUUUAAAGGGUGCGCAGGCGGAAGAUCAAGUCAGCGGUAAAAUUGAGAGGCUCAACCUCUGCGAGCCGUUGAAACUGGUUGUCUUGAGUGAGUGAGAAGUAUGCGGAAGGCGUGGUGUAGCGGUGAAAUGCAUAGAUAUCACGCAGAACUCCGAUGGCGAAGGCAGCAUACCGGCGCUCAACUGACGCUCAUGCACGAAAGUGUGGGUAUCGAACAGGAUUAGAUACCCGAGUAGUC